rnacentral:lncRNA from 1 species
AGAGAUAUACAAUUAAAAUCUCAUUAAGUUUCAAUUAAAGACUACAAAAAACCAAUUGAUGAAUAGUAGAGACACAGGGCAGCUUUAAAACAUGUUAAAUGUUGAUACCAGUUUUUCUCGAGCAUUCCACAGACUGAUCUGAUCAUAUUCUUCUUGAUGAAAGCGUUGGCUUGGGGACUAUGAUGCAUCUCCUGUUUCACGUUUUCUUCUAGUGAGACCCAGCAACGCUGGUGUGGAGGGAUUCUGGCGUGUUGCAGAGCAAGGGCUUUAUACUGAGGAUAUCAGUGGAGACUAAUUAAAUAAAGGGUUCAGCAUGAGCUGAGCACUGGUGCUGGAUAAGAAGAAGGAAAAUAUCAGGAGAGCUGGGGAGAAAGCUUUCAGGUCUGAGGAACCAGGGCAGGAGAAGGUUAGCCUCUGCGACUGAAAUAAAAAGGUUCUGUGAGCAAAUUCCUGCCCAAACCCCUACAUGCCAGACACAUUUAGAGUUGCUCUGCUAUCAGGUGAUGGUCACAGUAUUUAGCAGCUGGUGCCACACUAGAGCAGAACAGAUCUUGAAGGCCACCUGCAGUGCAGACAUCUAUACUUUAGUUGUUGGACUGAAGUCACCUUGAGGACUGAGGGUAAAGCAACUCCUCACUAAUACAUUGGGAAAUAUUUAAAUAUUUUAAUAAUAAUUUUUUAAAUAAUAACUUU